rnacentral:pre_miRNA from 1 species
UGCUAAAAGUUUCAUUCAUUUCCACUUUUUAAAAUUAGUGUACUUGACGAAUAACCAAGCAGUUACACAUGACAUGCCACAUGUAUCUCAUCUGACAUAUAGGGACAUGUUUUUAAAAGCAGAAAUAGAUGAAAAUUUUAAUA